rnacentral:lncRNA from 8 species
AUGGCUAUCUCUCCCACCGUAACCCUCCACCUGGACGAUGGUGUGGUGCGUGGUCUGGACCUCCAGUCCUGUGCUGCCCAGCUGUGUAAAGGACAUGGUCACUGUGUGGCUCAGGGACAGGCCACCACCUGUGAGUGUAUCCUGGGGUACAGAGGAGAGUUCUGCCAUGAGAGUGUCAAUGAGGCAAUCAGUGUUCCGCUCACCCUGGGGGUAUUGGCCUUUAUCGUUGGCAUCCUCCUCCUCUCCUUCCUCAUUGCUUUCGUCAGGCAGAGGUUCAAGGUCAAAAGGAAAGCUGCAGCCAAGGAUUCUCGUGGUUUAGAGAGAGACGUUCUGUAGCACCACCAUACUCAAGGUAGGACAUUCAACCACAUUCUCACACAAUAAUUAGCAAUAACUGAACUAUAACUCAUGCCACAAACAUGAAUUUCAUGUUAAGAAAAAAACUGGUACGAUGUUAUUUACACUAGUUAAAACAAUUUGUAUAAAUGUUUAAAGUUUAUGAAGUGUUUGACAUGUCUAGUGAAUUGAAUAUCUGUUCUGUGAUUUUAAUGACGUUGUCACACUCUUCUUGUAGGUUUGGUUGACGGUCCAACAUCGGAGCACAUCCCCUUCGUCAGGCUUUAUCCCCGGUACAAACAAUUAUAUACUGUAGUACUAUUUAUAUUAACUAUAUACUGUAGUAUUCUUCAUAUGAACUACAUACACUAGUGUUUACUAUACCAUAGGACUUCUUAUAUAAACAACUAUGCUGUGGUACUAAUAGAAAUCCAUAUAUGGUAGUACUACUCGUAUAAAGUAAGGACUGUUUUUUUUGGCUAUAGCUGUGUUCGAAUACUAACAAACUGUAUACUACAUACUUAAGUGUAUAUUACAUACUAUAUACUGUUUGUUGAUUUUAGUAUAUCUGUAAAUGACCGGUAUCCUUUCAGUUGAUUGUACUAGCGCUUCGCCUGUCUUUCGGUAGUUGAUGCUGUUGCUAUGCAACUUCUUGUUAGCAUAGCUAACAAAUUACUAGCUAGACAUUUUACGACUUCAUUGAGAACCCACAAAGACUAUACCACUUAGCUAAGCAAAGAAUAAUCAAGUCAAUAAAUGUUGGAUAGUUAGUAUAUAGUUAAUAUUUCAGUUUGAUGUAUUAGUAGCUUGCUAACAUACGGUAACCUACAAGCAACUGCUGUAAUGAUAUGCUAUGCAGUUCGUAAGGCUAGCAUUGCUAACAAACUGUCACCGAACAUAACGUGUAACGUGACUUAUUUGAAAAGUCGUUACUCCAGAGUGGCGCAGCGGUCUAAGGCACUGCAUCUCAGUGCUAAAGGUGUCACUACAGACCCUGGUUCGAUUCCAGGCUGUAUCACAACCGACUGUGAUUAGGAGUCCCAUAGGGCGGCGCACAAUUGGCCCAGCGUUGUCCGGGUUAGAGUUUGGCCGGGGUAGGCCGUCAUUGUAAAUAAGAAUUUAUUCUCAACUGACUUGCCUAGUUAAACCCAAAAAUGAAAGGCUACGUCAAAAUUACAUUUCU